rnacentral:snRNA from 1 species
GGUACAUGUGCUCACUUGGUACUAAAAUUGGAACGAUACAGAGAAGAUUAGCAUGGCCCCUGCACAAGGAUGACACGCAAAUUCGUGAAGCAUUAAAAAAAAAA